rnacentral:misc_RNA from 1 species
GCAAACUUGGUCAUUUAGAGGAAGUAAAAGUCGUAACAAGGUAACCGUAGGUGAACCUGCGGUUGGAUCAUUAACAAAUAAUCCAAACGAAACUGCAAAGUUUCGAUUGCACACCUGUGAACUGUUUUUGUCUCUGGUGGGUUUAAUCGCCCACCGAUUUUAAACUUGAGAUUUAUAUUUGACAUAAAGUUAUUUAUAAUAAUAAACAACUUUUGGCAACGGAUCUCUUGGCUCUCGCAUCGAUGAAGAACGCAGC